GAUGAACGCUGGCGGCGUGCCUAAUACAUGCAAGUCGAGCGAACAGACGAGGAGCUUGCUCCUCUGACGUUAGCGGCGGACGGGUGAGUAACACGUGGAUAACCUACCUAUAAGACUGGGAUAACUUCGGGAAACCGGAGCUAAUACCGGAUAAUAUAUUGAACCGCAUGGUUCAAUAGUGAAAGACGGUUUUGCUGUCACUUAUAGAUGGAUCCGCGCCGCAUUAGCUAGUUGGUAAGGUAACGGCUUACCAAGGCUACGAUGCGUAGCCGACCUGAGAGGGUGAUCAGCCACACUGGAACUGAGACACGGUCCAGACUCCUACGGGAGGCAGCAGUAGGGAAUCUUCCGCAAAGGGCGAAAGCUUGACGGAGCAACGCCGCGUGAGUGAUGAAGGUCUUCGGAUCGUAAAACUCUGUUAUUAGGGAAGAAAAAAUGUGUAAGUAACUAUGCACGUCUUGACGGUACCUAAUCAGAAAGCCACGGCUAACUACGUG
rnacentral:rRNA from 1 species